AAACAUACUAAUAAUAAAAAUAAUAAAUUGAAAACUAAAUGAAUAAAAAAAUAAAAAAUCUUAACCCAGCUCACAAAAUUUUCAAGAUUGAUCAUCACAAAUUUUUUAACUAUUGUAAAGAACUUCAUUUACAUGUAGAAAUCAUGACUUUGUCUACUAUUAAACCCUGCACCCUCUUCAUGUUCAUAUGUCUUGUCCUUCUCCUUAUUUCAACAUGGGAAGUGGAAGCAAAGUUAUUUUGUGGAAGGCCGAGCAGAACAUGGUCAGGGCCUUGUAUUGAUGCAGCAUGUGAUAGAGAGUGCAUUGACUCAGAGUUAAGUAAUGGAUGCAAACAGUAUGCUCAGAGUGUUUGAACUCGAAAACACAUCUUGAACAGAGUUACUUCAUGAAGGUUAUCCCACUUAAGGUCUUGCAUCAGCUGAUACUGUUCAACUCUACCAAAAUAUCUGGUGUUCAGAAUGAGAUGCAAGGAGAUAGCAUGAUUAACAUGUAAAUUUGAGAUAAGGUCUUGUACAUUAACUGUUAGAACUAUUUUGUAUUGCCAAGUUGUGUAUUUGAGUUAAAUAAUAUCAAAUUUUUAGACUCAACUGAACCUUGUUCUUUCUGAUUUUAAAUUAUCCAAUAUAAUGAUAAACAUGUAAAUGUUAGUAAUCGUGCAAGUACUGAAACUGUUGUAAUAUGAA